CCCGGCACGCGAGAGCAGGACGGGCUGCGGUGUCACACGCGUGUGACACGGGGGUGGCACCCGGCACGCGAGGGCAGGACGGGCUGCGGUGUCACACGCGUGUGACAGGGCCGGGGUGGCACCUGGCACGCGAGAGCAGGACAUGCCAUGGUGUCACACACGUGUGACAGGGCCAGGGUGGCACAUGGGCACAGGAAGGGACUGGCCACAUUGUCACACAUUGCAAGCUCCUCUCUGCACUGCAUCAGAACACACCAGGUGCUGCAGUGCUCCAGAGGCCGACGAUUUUCCAGCGACACCAGGCAGUAUCCUGCAGCAUUUGCCCUUCCAGAGAAUCAAGAAUCCAGUUCCAAAUCGGCAGCAGUUGGAUUUUUCUGGUGUGGAGGUUUGUGGGGGGAGAGGUUCCCAUCUCCUCCCCAGGUGUGCUGGUCCUGCUGCAUCCCCCAGCUGCAGUUCCUGGCUCCAGGCUGGCACAAUUCAGGGCUGAAUUAUUUUUGCCACCACCAGACAAACCAGUUUUUAUAGGGAGGAAUGGAGAAACUCUGCACAGCUCCAUGCACACAACUCCACUCCUAUAGGACUGGAAAAGAGAUUUUUCCCUGGCAAGAGUGUACAGUGGGCAGCUGAUGCCUACAGGCAGCUGGCACAGCCCCUCCUGCCCUGCUGCUCCCACAUCCCACCUCUGCUCCCACACAACCCAGCCAGGGAUCCCUCAGAAUCAGGAUCCUGACUGUGCAGGCAAGGGGGGACACAGGGAGGACAUUAAUGCACCAAAGACACUUUGCACAAGCAGUGCUCUGCAUUGUGCAUAAACCACAGGCAAAGGCACCUCUGGGGCUCAUCCCACACUGGGGUUACUCCCCUUGGGCUCUGGGGUUGGCUGCUAUCCUGUUCAUUGACCCUUGGGCAGGGCCAGUGCUUGGCACAGGGGCUUGAGGUGCACAUCAGCUGCUCUGAUGUGAACCUGCCUUGCAGCAGCAGCUCAUCUUCAGUAUUGACCCAAUUUAGCUGACAAUAACAAGCUAGAUCACGAGGCAGGUUAAUGCAGGCAAGUUUGUUCCCAUCAGAUUAAAUAUCCCAACCGGAGCCCUGGUAGUGGCAGGGCAGGAUGCUGGUGGUCCAUAGCCCCAGGGAUGGAGACAGCUCCCUACUCCAACACCCUGCUCUGAUGGCUGUGCACAAUUUCUCUUUCCCUCCUGCAAAAUGCCACAAGUGCAAUUUUCCAAGCCCCACUUUCAUUUCUUGGGGUCAAUCCUGCAUGGCACCAAGGAUUCCCUUCCUCAUGAUGAAGCAACAUCUGUCCUUUCCAUCUGUCCUGCAACUCUCUGGGCCAAAUCUCUCCAGGGAUGCUCAGGCUGCAGUUGCCACAACAACAAAGUGAUGCAACGGUUUCCUUUGCACUGGGAGUCCUGUUGAUAUUGAGGAGCUGGGGUGGGUGAGCCAUCAAAGCUGUGUCGGUGCCAGUGGAGGUCCAUGCAGGAUAAAGCCACUUGUGGUGGUCAGCGUCCCCGUUUCCAUCCUGGAA
rnacentral:lncRNA from 1 species